rnacentral:rRNA from 1 species
UAUACAUGCAAGUCGUACGGGAUAAGUUGUAGCAAUACGACUUUGAGAGUGGCGUACGGGUGCGUAACACGUAUGCAACCUACCUUUAACUGGGGGAUAGCCCGGAGAAAUUCGGAUUAAUACCCCAUAAUAUAAUAACAGGGCAUCUUGUUAUUAUCAAAACACCGGUGGUUAAAGAUGGGCAUGCGGCUGAUUAGCUAGUUGGUGAGGUAAUGGCUCACCAAGGCUACGAUCAGUAGGGGGUCUGAGAGGAUGUCCCCCCACACUGGUACUGAGACACGGACCAGACUCCUACGGGAGGCAGCAGUAGGGAAUAUUGGUCAAUGGACGAAAGUCUGAACCAGCCAUGCCGCGUGCAGGAUGACUGCCCUAUGGGUUGUAAACUGCUUUUAUACGGGAAGAAACCCCUGAACGUGUUCAGGGCUGACGGUACUGUAUGAAUAAGGAUCGGCUAACUUCGUGCCAGCAGCCGCGGUAAUACGAAGGGUCCAAGCGUUGUCCGGAUUUACUGGGUUUAAAGGGUGCGUAGGCGGACUUUUAAGUCAGUGGUGAAAGCUGGUAGCUUAACUAUCAAAUUGCCAUUGAAACUGAAAGUCUCGAGUAUAGUUGAGGUAGCUGGAAUGUAUCAUGUAGCGGUGAAAUGCUUAGAUAUGAUACAGAACACCAAUUGCGAAGGCAGGUUGCUAAACUAUAACUGACGCUGAGGCACGAAAGCGUGGGGAGCAAACAGGAUUAGAUACCCUGGUAGUCCACGCCCUAAACGUUGAUUACUCGCUGUUGGCGAUACACUGUCAGCGGCUAAGCGAAAGCGGUAAGUAAUCCACCUGGGGAGUACGGUCGCAAGAUUGAAACUCAAAGGAAUUGACGGGGGCCCGCACAAGCGGAGGAGCAUGUGGUUUAAUUCGAUGAUACGCGAGGAACCUUACCUGGGCUUGAAUGUGAGUGAUCGGUGCCGAAAGGUACUUUCCCUUCGGGGCACAAAACAAGGUGCUGCAUGGCUGU